rnacentral:rRNA from 1 species
CCACCACUAAGCCAGUGGUGAACUCCACAUACGCAUCCUUUGCUGAGGAUACGGUUAACGGAGCGAAAGCGACGUUCAACCGCAAAAGAAGCAGAGGGGGCUUAGUGGUGGGGUGACUGCGUACCUUUUGUAUAAUGGGUCAGCGACUUAUAUUCUGUAGCAAGGUUAACCGCAUAGGGGAGCCGGAGGGAAACCGAGUCUUAAUUGGGCGUUAAGUUGCAGGGUAUAGACCCGAAACCCGGUGAUCUAGCCAUGGGCAGGUUGAAGGUUGGGUAACACUAACUGGAGGACCGAACCGACUAAUGUUGAAAAAUUAGCGGAUGACUUGUGGCUGGGGGUGAAAGGCCAAUCAAACCGGGAGAUAGCUGGUUCUCCCCGAAAGCUAUUUAGGUAGCGCCUCGUGAAUUCAUCUUCGGGGGUAGAGCACUGUUUCGGCUAGGGGGUCAUCCCGACUUACCAACCCGAUGCAAACUGCGAAUACCGAAGAAUGUUAUCACGGGAGACACACGGCGGGUGCUAACGUCCGUCGUGAAGAGGGAAACAACCCAGACCGCCAGCUAAGGUCCCAAAGUCAUGGUUAAGUGGGAAACGAUGUGGGAAGGCACAGACAGCCAGGAUGUUGGCUUAGAAGCAGCCAUCAUUUAAAGAAAGCGUAAUAGCUCACUGGUCGAGUCGGCCUGCGCGGAAGAUGUAACGGGGCUAAACCAUGCACCGAAGCUGCGGCAGCGACACUGUGUGUUGUUGGGUAGGGGAGCGUUCUGUAAGCCGUUGAAGGUGUCCUGUGAGGGAUGCUGGAGGUAUCAGAAGUGCGAAUGCUGACAUAAGUAACGAUAAUGCGGGUGAAAAACCCGCACGCCGGAAGACCAAGGGUUCCUGUCCAACGUUAAUCGGGGCAGGGUGAGUCGACCCCUAAGGCGAGGCCGAAAGGCGUAGUCGAUGGGAAACAGGUUAAUAUUCCUGUACUUGGUGUUACUGCGAAGGGGGGACGGAGAAGGCUAUGUUGGCCGGGCGACGGUUGUCCCGGUUUAAGCGUGUAGGUGUGUGUUCCAGGUAAAUCCGGUUCACUUUAACACUGAGGCGUGAUGACGAGGCACUACGGUGCUGAAGUGACAAAUGCCCUGCUUCCAGGAAAAGCCUCUAAGCAUCAGGUAACACGAAAUCGUACCCCAAACCGACACAGGUGGUCAGGUAGAGAAUACCAAGGCGCUUGAGAGAACUCGGGUGAAGGAACUAGGCAAAAUGGUGCCGUAACUUCGGGAGAAGGCACGCUGAUAUGUAGGUGAAGCGGUUUACCCGUGGAGCUGAAAUCAGUCGAAGAUACCAGCUGGCUGCAACUGUUUAUUAAAAACACAGCACUGUGCAAACACGAAAGUGGACGUAUACGGUGUGACGCCUGCCCGGUGCCGGAAGGUUAAUUGAUGGGGUUAUCCGUAAGGAGAAGCUCUUGAUCGAAGCCCCGGUAAACGGCGGCCGUAACUAUAACGGUCCUAAGGUAGCGAAAUUCCUUGUCGGGUAAGUUCCGACCUGCACGAAUGGCGUAAUGAUGGCCAGGCUGUCUCCACCCGAGACUCAGUGAAAUUGAACUCGCUGUGAAGAUGCAGUGUACCCGCGGCAAGACGGAAAGACCCCGUGAACCUUUACUAUAGCUUGACACUGAACACUGGUCCUUGAUGUGUAGGAUAGGUGGGAGGCUUUGAAGUGUGGACGCCAGUCUGCAUGGAGCCAUCCUUGAAAUACCACCCUUUAAUGGCUGGUGUUCUAACGUGGGCCCCUAAUCGGGGUUGCGGACAGUGUCUGGUGGGUAGUUUGACUGGGGCGGUCUCCUCCCAAAGAGUAACGGAGGAGCACGAAGGUUAGCUAAUCCUGGUCGGACAUCAGGAGGUUAGUGCAAAGGCAUAAGCUAGCUUGACUGCGAGAGUGACGGCUCGAGCAGGUGCGAAAGCAGGUCUUAGUGAUCCGGUGGUUCUGAAUGGAAGGGCCAUCGCUCAACGGAUAAAAGGUACUCCGGGGAUAACAGGCUGAUACCGCCCAAGAGUUCAUAUCGACGGCGGUGUUUGGCACCUCGAUGUCGGCUCAUCACAUCCUGGGGCUGAAGUAGGUCCCAAGGGUAUGGCUGUUCGCCAUUUAAAGUGGUACGCGAGCUGGGUUUAGAACGUCGUGAGACAGUUCGGUCCCUAUCUGCCGUGGGCGCUGGAGAAUUGAGGGGGGCUGCUCCUAGUACGAGAGGACCGGAGUGGACGCAUCACUGGUGUUCGGGUUGUCAUGCCAAUGGCACUGCCCGGUAGCUAAAUGCGGAAAAGAUAAGUGCUGAAAGCAUCUAAGCACGAAACUUGCCCCGAGAUGAGUUCUCCCUGAGACUAUAAGUCUCCUGAAGGAACGUUGAAGACGACGACGUUGAUAGGUCGGGUGUGUAAGCGUAGCGAUACGUUGAGCUAACCGGUACUAAUGAACCGUGAGGCUUAACCUUACAACGCCGAAG